CCACGACCUCGACCUCGCCUGAGUCGGAGCUCGCCUAAAGGUCACCUCCUGCAGCUCGACCUCACCCGAAGUAGUCGUCGAGGUAGAUGAUAGCUUGAGAGUUGAGGACGUGGAAGUCUACUAUGAUGCAGGACAGUUAUUUGGUGGCCUUCUCAAGGGCCCCCUGCUCCCCUCUAGCUAGCGCCGCCAUCAAGAAGGCUGUAGCCGAAACUUUAUCGCUGGAGGCAUGUCCCUUCUUCAGGGAGAAGUGAUAUAUGCUUCCUGAAUUUGAAUUUGCUUGGAGAACGAAUCUAGUAGUUUUCUCGUUAAUAAAUGAAUGGAUGUUUGAUGCAAGUUUCCGAUACUUAUUACUUCCAAUGAAUGUAUGAAUCAAGUUUUUAUGAAAAAACUGGACAUAUGAAUAAAUAAGGGCUAAAUUUCACAAA